GACGAACGCUGGCGGCGUGCUUAACACAUGCCAGUCGAACGGAAAGGCCCUGCUUGCAGGGUACUCGAGUGGCGAACGGGUGAGUAACACGUGGGUGAUCUGUCCUGCACUUCGGGAUAAGCCUGGGAAACUGGGUCUAAUACCGGAUAGGAGCCAUUUUUAGUGUGAUGGUUGGAAAGUUUUUUCGGUGUAGGAUGAGCUCGCGGCCUAUCAGCUUGUUGGUGGGGUAAUGGCCUACCAAGGCGGCGACGGGUAGCCGGCCUGAGAGGGUGGACGGCCACAUUGGGACUGAGAUACGGCCCAGACUCCUACGGGAGGCAGCAGUGGGGAAUAUUGCACAAUGGGCGCAAGCCUGAUGCAGCGCCGCCGCGGGGGGGAGGACGGCCUUCGGGUUGGAAACUCCUUUCGCUAGGGACGAAGCUUUUUGUGACGGUACCUAGAUAAGAAGCACCGGCUAACUACGUG
rnacentral:rRNA from 1 species